UUACGGCCAUAUCACGUUGAAAUAUCAGUUUCCGUACGAUCACCGAAGUUAAGCCACGUCGAGCCUGGUCAGUACCUAGCUGGAUAACUGCUUGCAAAUACUGGCUGUUGUA